rnacentral:rRNA from 1 species
GGGGAAUCUUGCGCAAUGGGCGAAAGCCUGACGCAGCGACGCCGCGUGCGGGAUGACGGCCUUCGGGUUGUAAACCGCUUUCAGCAGGGACGAGGCCGCAAGGUGACGGUACCUGCAGAAGAAGCCCCGGCUAACUACGUGCC